rnacentral:sRNA from 1 species
CUGUAGGCCGUGCCAAACGGACGUGAUGGUGCUGAAGAACAUGGAGAUUUUUCCGUUUUCUCUCCAUGGCCGACGAAUUGGCAGACGAGCUUCCCAUCCAUCCGGUCU